CACAAAAGGGAAUCACACUGUUAAUUUCAAGGAGUUAUUUUAACUCCCUAACUAAAUUUGGGCGUAAAUUUUUUUGGAGUUAAAAAACUACUCCACUUCGAUAUGUAUUCAAACAUAUGUAUACUCCACUGGGAGUCAAUUUAACUCCACUUAAAGGAGUAAAAAUAACCCUAGCACAGGAGUAAAAAUAACGGAGUAAAUUGUACUGUAUAUAUUUUACUCCAGCGGUUGUUUUUACUCCCAAUUAAUCGUAGUAGUCCCUACUCAGCCUGUGUAAUAUAACUCAACCAUUACACAUAUAUAUUCAUAGGAAUGCCAAAACUAUAUUCAGGUUUCUUCAACCUAGAGAUAUUUGCUAUACAAAUUCGUAGUGAAAGAG